rnacentral:misc_RNA from 1 species
GUGAGUCAUCGAAUCUUUGAACGCACCUUGCGCUCCUUGGUAUUCCUUGGAGCAUGCCUGUUUGAGUGUCAUUAAUAUAUCAACCUUUGCCGGAUUUGUUUCCGGUCGAAGGCUUGGACUUGGAGCGUGCUGGCCUUUGCAGGUCGGCUCCUCUUAAAUAUAUCAGCGAAAGAUUGGCUCGUUAUGCCUUCUCUUUCGGUGCUCGGUGUGAUAGUACAUCUCGCCGUCGCCGUGUAGGAAGGUGGGUCUUCUCCGCUCAUAAUGGUCCUCCCGGACAAUUCAUCGAUCUUGACCUCAAAU